AGAAAGAUUGGUAAGCUCGGUGUUUAUAUGCAGAGAGUUGGAUGGCUCUGGAGAAACAAAGCUUAUAACUUCUCUU
rnacentral:tRNA from 1 species